UUGAAACACCAGUUCCCAUACAAUCACCGAAGUUAAGCAACAUUGUGCCUGGUCACUACCUAGAUGGGUGACAGCUUGGAAAUACCAGGUGCUAUA
rnacentral:rRNA from 1 species